rnacentral:lncRNA from 1 species
GAAAUUUCGUCCUCGAAAUUUAGACUAUGUUAUCUCUUCAUAAUUGUGUUUGAAAAGUUGAUGUCAAGGGAAACAAGAUGUAUAGAUACAGUCACUAGUGUGACUAAGUUAACAGGAUCCAACAAUGAACAGGAACUUCGACCAAUCGAAUUCCAUGUGAACGUUUAUAACAUGUAAACAAGUUCUAGACGCAAUAACAUCCACUAGAUGAACUUAGAAUCAACAACCUCAAAUAUACUAGUUUGCACGAAACGCUCGAUCGUGAUCAGCACAAGCUGCAAGUUAUACCGACGCGACAAGGUGUCGCAAUGAAUGAAACAAUUCAAUAAUAGGGGUGAUCGAACAAGUAUCACCUGUGUUUUGCAUGAAACGCUCAAUCAUGAUUAGCCCAAGCUACAAGUUUGUACCAACACCACAAGGUGUCGUAAUGAUUUAAACAAUCCAAUAAUAGCGGUGAUCAAACAAUUUCACCGUGUUCGAUGUCAAAUGAAUGCGCAGUAAAGGGAAUCUGAAAGUUUGUUUUAAAUGACAUCAUAGAAUUUUCAAUUGAAAAUGAAACAUCAAAGAAAUAAUGUUUUCGAUCGAAGACGAAGGAACAAUGAAUAUCGUAAGAUAGUCGAUCGAUGUUGAAAGGACCGUUAGAAGGUACACCGGAAUAUGGAAUGAAUUUUGUGUACCCUUGUCUUAUCACACGAUUGUGUUAAGACUGUUUAGAUUAUGAUAAAUCAAAUAGGAUUUAAAGCAAUCAAUAAGUAAAUAUUUAAAUCCGUGCAUGAGAUGUCUAAACGAGUUUAGCGC